GGGCAGGUGAUCCGAUUGGUAAUGGUGGUUCUCUGUAAAAGAAUUGGUCUAUGACCGUAAAAGGUUCGAUUCCUUUACUGCCUA
rnacentral:tRNA from 1 species